rnacentral:rRNA from 1 species
GAUGAACGCUAGCGGCAGGCCUAACACAUGCAAGUCGAGGGAGAGGUUAUCUUCGGGUAACCAAAACCGGCGCACGGGUGCGUAACGCGUAUACAAUCUGCCUUUCACAUAGGGAUAGCCCGAAGAAAUUUGGAUUAAUACCUAAUGGUAUAUAAGAGCGGCAUCGUUUUUAUAUUAAAGCUACGGUGGUGAAAGAUGAGUAUGCGUUCUAUUAGCUAGUUGGAGAGGUAACGGCUCCCCAAGGCGACUAUAGAUAGGGGUUCUGAGAGGGAUGUCCCCCACACUGGUACUGAGAUUUUGACCAGACUCCUACGGGAGGCAGCAGUGGGGAAUUUUGGACAGUGGACGGAACACUGAUCCAGCCUUCCCCGCGUGCGGUAUGAAGGCCAUAGGAGAUUGAAAACUGUUUUUGUAGGGGAAAAAUAGAGAGCACGUGUUCUUUGAUGACGGUCCCCUUUCCAAAUAAACAUCGGAUAUCUC